GUAACAGUUAAGGAAGUCACCUGGGAGCAGAACAGAGCUGAUACAAAGCACAAGGGAUGGUGUGUUGGCGAAUAUUAUUUUAAGGACCUUCCUUCAGCUGGAUCUCAAGGGGAAGAAAACAAACAAACAAAAACAACAACAACAACAA